rnacentral:rRNA from 1 species
GGGGGGGGGGGGGGGGGGGCGGGGCGCGUGGGGGGCGGGCGGGGCGGUCGGGGGGGGGGGCGGGCGGGGGGGGAGGAGGGGGGGACGUGCGUGUGGGUGCGGGGUCACUCGGGGGGACGGGGGCUACUGCGGAAUGUGCCAGGCGGGGGCACGAUUGAUCGCCCUUAGAGCGGCCCGCGUCGGAUCAGGAAGUGGGUUGAGGUGAGGGCUCACCCCGUCGACGUGCAGGAGCUGGUCUGCGAGGAUGAUCAGCCACAUGGGGACUGCGACACGGCCCAAACGCCUACGGGAGGCAGCAGUGGGGAAUCUUGCGCAAUGGGCGAAAGCCUGACGCAGCCAUGCCGCGUGAAUGAUGAAGGUCUUAGGAUUGUAAAAUUCUUUCACCGGGGACGAUAAUGACGGUACCCGGCGAAGAAGCCCCGGCUAACUUCGUG